rnacentral:rRNA from 1 species
AGGACGAACGCUGGCGGCGUGCCUAAUACAUGCAAGUCGAACGGUCUUUCUAUGGAAGCUUGCUUCCACUGAGAAGAUAGUGGCGAACGGGUGAGUAACACGUGGGUAACCUGCCCAUAAGAGGGGGGAUAACAUCCGGAAACGGGUGCUAAUACCGCAUAGUUUUCUUGAUCGCAUGAUCGGGAAAGGAAAGACGGCCUUUGUGCUGUCGCUUAUGGAUGGACCCGCGGCGUAUUAGUUAGUUGGUGAGGUAACGGCUCACCAAGACGAUGAUACGUAGCCGACCUGAGAGGGUGAUCGGCCACAUUGGGACUGAGACACGGCCCAAACUCCUACGGGAGGCAGCAGUAGGGAAUCUUCCGCAAUGGACGAAAGUCUGACGGAGCAACGCCGCGUGAGUGAAGAAAAGGUUUUCGGAUCGUAAAACUCUGUUGUCAGAGAAGAACAAGUUGGAGAGUAACUGCUCCAGCCUUGACGGUAUCUGACCAGAAAGCCACGGCUAACUACGUGCCAGCAGCGGC